AUGCUUAACUAUUUUCCUUUAGACUUUUGUCAUCAAUUUUUCAUUUUGGACAAUCUGUCUAAUCAUUACACCCAACUCAUUUAUUUCCAGGGGCUGCCAGGACCAAAAGGAGAUAAGGGUGAUCAAGGAGAUACUGGGCCAAGGAUGGUCUUUCCUCGUUACGAUCACAGCUACAUCUCGGCCGAUCAGCCCAGUUUCCAGAGGCGUAUGCUGAAGGUAGCAUGUGUGCAAGGCAUGUGCAGACACUCCCCUUACUAGAUCUUCAUCUUCCUCAUUUUUAACCCAUGUCGUCUUGCGUGAUUGCUUGUGUUAUUGUUUGUGUGUCUAAAUAUUUACAAUCAAAUAACCUCAUGUGUGAAGGAUCAGAGUGUUGCAUGCAAGUUUGCUGCUUCAGUGAAUGAGGCUGAUGCAGGGUGGAUCUCACGAAAAAAUAUCUCGGUCAUAUUGUACCACAUAAUCAAAAAAAAACAACAACAACAACAAAACAAUAGUCUUUAUAUUUUGGAUAAGGAAAUGUAAUGCAAAAUAAUGUCACUAUGCGAAAGAUUAGUGCUGGGCCUUGAUUAAUCAUGAUUAUUCGCAUCCAAAAUAAUAAUUUUUGUGUAUAUAAUAUAUGUGUGUGUACUGUGUAUAUUUAUUAUGUAUAUAUAAAUACACACACAUGCAUGCAUAUAUUUAAGAAAAAUUUUUUGUUUAUAUAAUAAAUAUAUUUAUAUAUAAUAUAAAUUAUAUGAAUAUAAAUAUAUACAUGUAAAUACAUGUUAAUAUUUUCUAAAUAUAUACUACGUGUGUGUCUUUAUACAUGCAUAAUAAAUAUUCUCAGU
rnacentral:lncRNA from 1 species